UUAUUCCAGUCUUAGUUGGAAAUAGAAUCUCUGUAUUGAUUCAGGUAAAAACUGAACUUCACAGCAUGUUGGAGCAAAGCAACCAGAUGAAAACUGUGAUGGUGUUGGAUUGUCAGACCGUAAUGUUGCAGCUCAAAGCAGCUUUUCUAGCUCAGUUCAUUCUGACAUUCAGCUAUGAAUCAACACAGCAGAUGGUGAUCCAUGCUGUGGAAGUCUCACAUCUCCUGAUUUAAUGGAGCUGCUUUGCACUUUUUACAGUUUAUUCACCAACACUUUAUUUAAUAAAAGUCCCAUCUAGUUUUUAUGAGGAAUGUGAUGUUUUAAUUUCUCUGUGAAUAACUGCAGUCUAAUGCAACAGCUGGAAUUGUAACAUCUGUCCUGAUAUUGAUCAUGAAGUAUUGAUCAGAAUACUUAUGGUCAGCAGUCAUCCCUGAAGUUUUACAUUCAAAUCUGUACUUGUGUUGUGAACUUUGGUAAGAAGCAGAAACUUUAGCGUUGCCAUGGAUACAUGAGUGUUAAAUUCUGUCCAUGUUUCCAUUUUGGGAAAUUCAGUCCAGCAGAUGAGUUUGUUUUUACUGCCAGCUACCAUUCAGUCUGAGAUAUUAAGAAUAAAUAAAUGUGCAUAAUGUGGAAAUGAACAGAUUCUAUUUUUAUUUAUUCCUACAGUUGCUGCAUGUAAAGUUCCAGAAUGUGGAGGAAUUUAGUCGCACAAUCACAGACAAUAAAUAUUAUCUUAAAGUCGGGUUAUUGUUGUUUAUCAGUACAAUACAAAAAGAUUCAUGUUAGAAAUAUUCCAGUUAAGACUCUAGAAUAUCAGGAUUUAUGUAAAUUUACCUCAAUAAUAUGAAUGUUCAGGUUAAGAUUGAACAGUGAUAUUUAUUAUGUAAGUUUAGCUGAUUAAUGUUUAUGACUCUGCACUACAUUAUUUAUUUAAAUUGACAUCAUUAUUGUAAUAUUUAGGGUCAGACCCUACAGAAUUGAGAUUAAGAAAUCAAAUAUUCUAUAAAAUGUAAAUACACUGAACUAAUCUGGAUAUAUUUAAGUGAGACUCAAUAUUACAAUAUUAUUUAUGACAGAAAUCUAUCUAAAUCAAAAUUUAAAUCAUUUUUACUCCAAACAUUUACUGGGCUGGUUUAAAUAUUAAAAUCACUCCUUUCUAAUCCUCUGCUGUACGUUCAAACCUGAGGCCUUAAAUAGAAACACACAAGUAUCUGAUUAAAGGAACUUCUGCAGAGUCCUGGUUCCAGAACAUGAUCAUAGAAUUAUAGACAAACUUUAACAAAAGCUGCCUGAGAGUUUACAGGUUUUUAUGUUAAAUUUCUUCAGUAAUUUAAUGAGAGUUAUCAGCAAAAAUCAAGUGUUCAUUUGAUGAACUUCAUUUCCUAAAACAUCCAGAAUUGGAGCUCAUAUCUUUGGCAGCUGUAAAGUUUCUGCUCCUUCAAAGUUCACAACACAAUGAAUGAAUUCCUAAAACACUCUCAAUGCUGGAGAGCGUUUGAUGCUGAAGCAGUGAUCAGUUUUUCUGUUUCUUCUCUGGAGAUGCACAAUGAGGGACGUCUGCAGAGACUGAGAAAGAGUCUCACCACAUCCUGACAUGAGGAAAAAGACUUUAUUGAAGACUACAAUGAGAAAAACUAUCAGACAGCAGACGGCUGCAUUCAAGUCUGUAGCUGCUGAAUUCAUGGAUGAAUCAUCUGGCACUCGAGAGGAAGACCAUCAAACAUCCACAUCAGCUGAUGGAGGUCCAAGAGUCUCACCCAACAAACAACCUACAGAGUGAAGACCUCAAAUCUGAUUGGACGGCCUCCUAUUCAGCCACAUGUGUGAACAAAUGCCUCUAAGCUGAUUUGUUUUCUAAAAUAAAUC
ensembl:lncRNA